AAUGAACGCUAGCGGCGUGUUUAAGACAUGCAAGUUGAACGGAGAUUACGGUAGUUUACUAUUUGUAAUUUUAGUGGCGGACGGGUGAGUAACACGUGAACUACCUACCCUUAAGUGGAGGACAGUCCUGGGAAACUGGGUUUAAUACUCCAUGUGCUUAUAAGUAAAGAAGCCUUCGGGUUUCGCUUAAGGAUGGGUUCGCGGUCUAUCAGCUAGUUGGUGAGGUAAUGGCUCACCAAGGCGACGACGGAUAGCUGGUCUUAGAGGAUGAUCAGUCACACUGGAACUGAGACACGGUCCAGACACCUACGGGUGGCAGCAGUCGAGAAUAAUUCACAAUGGACGAAAGUCUGAUGGUGCAACGCCGCGUGGAGGAUGACGGUUUUCGGAUUGUAAACUCCUGUCAUUGUAGAGUAAGACUUAGUAGUUAAUACCUGCUAAGUUUGAGAGUAUACAAAGAGGAAGGGACGGCUAACUUCG
rnacentral:rRNA from 1 species